rnacentral:rRNA from 1 species
CCUACGGGCGGCAGCAGUGAGGAAUAUUGGUCAAUGGCCGGAAGGCUGAACCAGCCAUGCCGCGUGAAGGUCAGUGCCCUAUGGGCGUUAAACUUCUUUUGUGCGGGAGCAAUAAUGGUCACGUGUGGCCAGACGAGAGUACCGUACGAAUAAGCAUCGGCUAACUCCGUGCCAGCAGCCGCGGUAAUACGGGGGAUGCAAGCGUUAUCCGGAUUUAUUGGGUUUAAAGGGUGCGUAGGCUGGGAGGUAAGUCAGCGGUGAAAUGCCCCCGCUCAACGGGGUGAAGUGCCAUUGAUACUGCCUGGCUGGAAUGCGGAGGCCGUGGGAGGAAUGUGUGGUGUAGCGGUGAAAUGCAUAGAUAUCACACAGAACACCGAUUGCGAAGGCAUCUCACGAAUCCGCGAUUGACGCUGAUGCACGAAAGCGUGGGUAUCAAACAGGAUUAGAUACCCUGGUAGUC